UACGAAGGGGGGCAAGCGUUGUUCGGAUUUACUGGGCGUAAAGGGCGCGCAGGCGGCUCUUCAAGUCAGAUGUGAAAGCCCCGGGCUCAACCUGGGAACUGCAUUUGAGACUGAAGAACUCGAGUUCGGGAGAGGAUGGCGGAAUUCCCAGUGUAGAGGUGAAAUUCGUAGAUAUUGGGAAGAACACCGGUGGCGAAGGCGGCUCUCUGGACCGAGACUGACGCUGAGGCGCGAAAGCGUGGGGAGCAAACAGG
rnacentral:rRNA from 1 species